rnacentral:rRNA from 1 species
GACAGAGGUGCCGAGCGUUAGGCGGAAUCACUGGGCUUAAAGCGUGUGUAGGCGGACUUCUAAGUACCUUGUGAAAUCCCACGGCUCAACCGUGGAACUGCUCGGUAUACUGGUUGUCUUGAGCCACUUAGGGGCAGUCGGAACAGACGGUGGAGCGGUGAAAUGCGUAGAGAUCGGAAGGAACACCAGUGGCGAAGGCAGCACUCUGGGACGUGACUGACGCUGAGACGCGAAAGCGUGGGGAGCAAACAGG